rnacentral:lncRNA from 1 species
UCUGAGCGUUUACAAAACUUGUCUAGUUUGUUAAUAAUUUUUAUUACGAUUUUUAGGAGCUUCUAACUUGUGCGAAAACGUUCAUAUUCACAUACUGGUCCGAAUUCAUAGUUACAGUGAUGAGCAGUUUUAAAAAAAACAACAUAAAUUGUAAAAAAGUCGUGUGGAUAUGUGCAAGUAGUUAUUUCAAAGGUAUACACCUGAACUAUUUGCACCUAGUACAGUUUUGAAAACUAAAAAGUUUAAUAUGUUCAAAACAGUUCGUGAAUGGAACUAAACUUUCAUGAUGAAAGCUGAUGUUUGAGUUUAGUAAAUUGUUGGUGUUUUAACUUGUAUUCUCCCCUAAUACUUGAAUAAAACAUGAAAAUGUGGGGGGUAUGAACUCACCUUGACUGAUUUCAGGAGAUGGAUGAUGAAGAAAAGAAGUUUCCAAGUCAAGAACACUUGGGAGAUUCUUGAAGAUUCGAAGAUCUAGCAAUAAUUAUGAUGAUGUUUGUGUAAGGAACUCAUGGUUUGAGUGAAGGGGGUAUGCUAAUCA